GAUGAACGCUGGCGGCGUGCCUAAUACAUGCAAGUCGAGCGAACGGACGAGAAGCUUGCUUCUCUGAUGUUAGCGGCGGACGGGUGAGUAACACGUGGAUAACCUACCUAUAAGACUGGGAUAACUUCGGGAAACCGGAGCUAAUACCGGAUAAUAUUUUGAACCGCAUGGUUCAAAAGUGAAAGACGGUCUUGCUGUCACUUAUAGAUGGAUCCGCGCUGCAUUAGCUAGUUGGUAAGGUAACGGCUUACCAAGGCAACGAUGCAUAGCCGACCUGAGAGGGUGAUCGGCCACACUGGAACUGAGACACGGUCCAGACUCCUACGGGAGGCAGCAGUAGGGAAUCUUCCGCAAUGGGCGAAAGCCUGACGGAGCAACGCCGCGUGAGUGAUGAAGGUCUUCGGAUCGUNAAACUCUGUUAUUAGGGAAGAACAUAUGUGUAAGUAACUGUGCACAUCUUGACGGUACCUAAUCAGAAAGCCACGGCUAACUACGUGCCAGCAGCCGCGGUAAUACGUAGGUGGCAAGCGUUAUCCGGAAUUAUUGGGCGUAAAGCGCGCGUAGGCGGUUUUUUAGUCUGAUGUGAAAGCCCACGGCUCAACCGUGGAGGGUCAUUGGAAACUGGAAAACUUGAGUGCAGAAGAGGAAAGUGGAAUUCCAUGUGUAGCGGUGAAAUGCGCAGAGAUAUGGAGGAACACCAGUGGCGAAGGCGACUUUCUGGUCUGUAACUGACGCUGAUGUGCGAAAGCGUGGGGAUCAAACAGGAUUAGAUACCCUGGUAGUCCACGCCGUAAACGAUGAGUGCUAAGUGUUAGGGGGUUUCCGCCCCUUAGUGCUGCAGCUAACGCAUUAAGCACUCCGCCUGGGGAGUACGACCGCAAGGUUGAAACUCAAAGGAAUUGACGGGGACCCGCACAAGCGGUGGAGCAUGUGGUUUAAUUCGAAGCAACGCGAAGAACCUUACCAAAUCUUGACAUCCUUUGACAACUCUAGAGAUAGAGCUUUCCCCUUCGGGGGACAAAGUGACAGGUGGUGCAUGGUUGUCGUCAGCUCGUGUCGUGAGAUGUUGGGUUAAGUCCCGCAACGAGCGCAACCCUUAAGCUUAGCUGCCAUCAUUAAGUUGGGCACUCUAAGUUGACUGCCGGUGACAAACCGGAGGAAGGUGGGGAUGACGUCAAAUCAUCAUGCCCCUUAUGAUUUGGGCUACACACGUGCUACAAUGGACAAUACAAAGGGCAGCGAAACCGUGAGGUCAAGCAAAUCCCAUAAAGUUGUUCUCAGUUCGGAUUGUAGUCUGCAACUCGACUACAUGAAGCUGGAAUCGCUAGUAAUCGUAGAUCAGCAUGCUACGGUGAAUACGUUCCCGGGUCU
rnacentral:rRNA from 1 species